rnacentral:rRNA from 1 species
UACGUAGGGUGCAAGCGUUGUCCGGAAUUAUUGGGCGUAAAGAGCUCGUAGGCGGUUUGUCGCGUCUGCUGUGAAAACCCGAGGCUCAACCUCGGGCCGCAGUGGGUACGGGCAGACUAGAGUGCGGUAGGGGAGAUUGGAAUUCCUGGUGUAGAGGUGAAAUUCGUAGAUAUCAGGAGGAACACCAGUGGCGAAGGCGGCUCACUGGUCCGGUACUGACGCUGAGGUGCGAAAGCGUGGGGAGCAAACAGG